rnacentral:rRNA from 1 species
GUGUCAGCAGCCGCGGUAAUACGUAGGAGGCGAGCGUUGUCCGGAUUUACUGGGCGUAAAGCGCGUGUAGGCGGCACGAUAAGUCUGCUGUGAAAGCUCUCGGCUUAACCGGGAGAGGUCGGUGGAUACUGUCGCGCUUGAGGACGGUAGAGGGGGGUGGAAUUCCCGGUGUAGUGGUGAAAUGCGUAGAGAUCGGGAGGAACACCAGCGGCGAAGGCGGCCCCCUGGGCCGCUCCUGACGCUGAGACGCGAAGGCCAGGGUAGCGAACGGGAUUAGAUACCCUCGUAGUCC